rnacentral:rRNA from 1 species
UACAGAGGUCUCAAGCGUUGUUCGGAUUCAUUGGGCGUAAAGGGUGCGUAGGUGGCGCGCUAAGUCAGGUGUGAAAUCUCCACGCUCAACGUGGAGGCGCCACCUGAAACUGCCGUGACUCGAGUCCGGUAGGGGAGUGUGGAAUUCCCGGUGUAGCGGUGAAAUGCGCAGAUAUCGGGAGGAACACCAGUAGCGAAGGCGGCACUCUGGGCCGGUACUGACGCUGAGGAGCGAAAGCGUGGGGAGCGAACAGG